rnacentral:rRNA from 1 species
AACGAACGCUGGCGGCAGGCUUAACACAUGCAAGUCGAACGCAUCCUUCGGGGUGAGUGGCAGACGGGUGAGUAACGCGUGGGAACAUGCCCUUCAGUUCGGAAUAACCCAGGGAAACUUGGGCUAAUACCGGAUACGUGCGAGAGCAGAAAGAUUUAUGAGCUGAAGGAGUGGCCCGCGUCUGAUUAGCUAGUUGGUGAGGUAAAGGCUCACCAAGGCGACGAUCAGUAGCUGGUCUGAGAGGACGAUCAGCCACACUGGGACUGAGACACGGCCCAGCAAGCUACGGGAGGCAGCGGUGGGAAAUAUGGGACAGUGGGCGCAAGAGUGAGCCAGCCAUGCUGCGGGAUGGAUGAAGGCCUUAGGGUGGUAAAGAUCUUGCGGCGGGGACGAUAAUGACGGUACCCGCAGAAGAAGCCCCGGCUAACUUCGUGCCAGCCGCCGCCGUAA